AGAGUUUGAUCAUGGCUCAGGACGAACGCUGGCGGCGCGCUUCAUCCAUGCAAGUCGAACGAAAAGCCGGAGCUUGCUCCGGUGGAAAGUGGCGAACGGGUGAGUAACACGUGAGAAACCUACCCCGGAGAUGGGAAUAGCCCAGGGAAACCUGGAUUAAUGCCCAAUACCCUGCCUGCACCUCAUGGUGCGCUCAGGAAACGCUUUUGUGCUCCGGGAGGGUCUCGCGGCCUAUCAGCUUGUUGGUGAGGUAACGGCUCACCAAGGCAUCGACGGGUAGCUGGUCUGAGAGGACGAUCAGCCACACUGGGACUGAGACACGGCCCAGACUCCUACGGGAGGCAGCAGGAGGGAAUAUUGCGCAAUGGGCGAAAGCCUGACGCAGCGACGCCGCGUGGGGGAAGAAGGCCUUCGGGUCGUAAACCCCUUUCAGCAGGGACGAAAUUGACGGUACCUGCAGAAGAAGCGCCGGCCAACUACGUGCCAGCAGCCGCGGUAAUACGUAGGGCGCAAGCGUUGUCCGGAUUCAUUGGGCGUAAAGGGCUCGUAGGCGGUUUGGUAAGUCGGGUGUGAAAACUCAGGGCUCAACUCUGAGACGCCACUCGAUACUGCCAUGACUAGAGUCCGGUAGGGGAGUGUAGAAUU
rnacentral:rRNA from 1 species